AACGUAGGAGCCAAGCGUUAUCCGAAUUCACUGGGCGUAAAGCGCGUGCAGGCGGCUGGGUAAGUUGGAUGUGAAAUCUCCUGGCUCAACUGGGAGAGGCCGUUCAAUACUACCUGGCUUGAGGGCGACAGAGGGAGGUGGAAUUCCGGGUGUAGUGGUGAAAUGCGUAGAUAUCGAGAGGAACACCAGUGGCGAAGGCGAGUCUCUAGACAACUCCUGACACUGAGGCACGAAAGCUAGGGGAGCAAACAGG
rnacentral:rRNA from 1 species